UAGCUAGUCAUGCCUUUCUUUAUCCCUGUUUAUCCUUUUAGACAUAAAGUUAAUUCCUAUGAUGAGAGAGACAAGGGAAAGCAAGUCAUGGAUAAAGCAUAAUAUUCACACAUUCGCCAUUGGUACAUGCAUUUCCAUAUCCUCGUAUAUACAUGAUAUUAUGAUAAAGAGGGAUUCAUAGAGUGAAAGAGAUAAGAGAGAAGCAGAGGUGUUGGUACAAAGCACAAUGAGCAAGAGCAAGUGGAUACCAGCACAAUAGCUUAUUAUUCACAAAGAGAAAGAAGGGUGGAUAUCGACUCAUCCUCCAGGCUGCACAAAGUUCUCUCUCUCUCUCUCUCAAUAUGUUGAUCAUUACUUUUCCUUUAUCUAAUGAAGUAAAUAAGGUUAUCCCAUCUCUAACAAUAUAGAUGAGGUGGUUUAUGUAAAUGCUUAUUCAUACAAUGAUAAACAAUCUGUAAAUUUCAUUGAAGACAAUGAUGAGCAAUUUAUAUGUUGGUUGCAUAUAGUGUAGCACCAUGGUGGUCGAGCUUCGAAAUGUGACUUUGCUCGAUAUUGGUGGGAGGAUAGAUGCAAAAAAACUUGGUUAAAAAUACACGUUAUAAUGUGUAUCUUGUGUUCAAGCUCAAAGAAGGGUCGAAGGGCCUAGAGUGAGCCAAAGCAAUAGUUAGGUUUGCUGAGGACAUAGCUCUAGGAAUAGAUCAUCAAGCUACAGAUGUAUUCCUCGUCAAUAAAACAGGAGCUAACGUUGGACAGGUUCCACGACCUCUAAACUAUGGGUGGAAAGAGAUUAAACUUGGAGAUUUCACCCUUGGCGAGGAAGAUAAAGGACAAGUAGAAAUGCGACUCUUUGAGAAGGAGGAACGCAAUCCGAAGUCUAGUCUUAUUAUCAUCAAAGGAAUUGAAGUUCGUCCGAAUUGAAUAAAACAAGUAUUUGUCCUAAUAUGAAGUUCUAAUAUUAUAAAUAAACCUGAUAAGUGCUAUUUCACGUGUGUUUCCAUGGUUUUCCCAUGGGUAAAAAACUUGUUUGGGUACUGAACUAAUAUGAUAGCUUCUAUUUAGUCAUUGAUCUUUUGCAUUC